rnacentral:rRNA from 1 species
UACAGGGGGUGCAAACGUUGCUCGGAAUCAUUGGGCGUAAAGCGCACGUAGGCGGUCUGUUAUGUCGGUGUGAAAGCCCUCGGCUCAACUGAGGAAGUGCAUCCGAAACUGGCAGGCUAGAGUACUAAAGAGGGUCGCGGAAUUCCCGGUGUAGAGGUGAAAUUCGUAGAUAUCGGGAGGAACACCGGUGGCGAAGGCGGCGACCUGGGUAGAUACUGACGCUGAGGUGCGAAAGCGUGGGGAGCAAACAGG